GAGGUUUUCUAUUUGUGAAUUUACAUUUGUGAAUAUGAAACUUAGCCAAUAAAAUUAACAAGUUACAGACAUAUACAUGAGAUGAGAAUCGUGUUUCUAAGCAACCAAACAGAACAUUCUUCCAGUACAAAAUAAAAUCCUUAUCAAUAUUUAUAUGUAUAAAAUCACAAAAGUCAAACCAAAAUGUUUUUAUAAAACGACAAUACCAAAAUAAAUGAACAGCAGUCUCAGGGGAAUUACCACAGAAAGUGCACAUAGGGUCAAUAUCUACUCUAAACCUCUUACAAUAAACUUUCACUGGAUAAACUCUGUGAAUAAGCUUAAAAGAAACCUCUUUUAUCUUAUUAGUUACUAAGUAAAGAUUAGGUAAAAGCCAGACCUUUUCCCACUUCA